UGACAGAUGCCACAAACCUGUAAAAUUUCCCAUUUAGUCCUUGUACAAGGGUGUGAAAGAUACUGAUCAUCAAUAAGGAAGGGAGACCAAAGUAGGAAGACUAAAGUAAAAGGUCUUUGAUCGCAAGGAAUACAGAAACACAAGAGCAAGAGGUUAAAAAGAAAAAAGCAACAACAAAAAAGGAGGAAGACCAUCGCAACAAGCAACUGAUAAAGAUGGCUUCAAGACUGGCUCUCCUACUGCUAUUUCUAUCUAUGACAGCCCCCACCAUUCAAGCAUGUGACACAGGUUGUGCUUCGGCGUGUGAAACAGGGGAUUACUAUAUUUGCAGACAGUCCUGUACUGGUGAUGACUGUUAUGUCUGCAAUGGCAUCCUAGAGAACUGUCUAGCAACUUGUGGUUGCACAAAGUGAUGAUUUAUGAUGAAUUUUGAGCUGUAUAAUGCAUGACAGAAAUUAAAAUCAAAUUAAUGUAAUCAUAAA